UAACGGGGCUAAACCAUGCACCGAAGCUGCGGCAGCGACGCUGAUGCGUUGUUGGGUAGGGGAGCGUUCUGUAAGCCUGCGAAGGUGGCCUGUGAGGGUUGCUGGAGGUAUCAGAAGUGCGAAUGCUGACAUAAGUAACGAUAAAGCGGGUGAAAAGCCCGCUCGCCGGAAGACCAAGGGUUCCUGUCCAACGUUAAUCGGGGCAGGGUGAGUCGACCCCUAAGGCGAGGCCGAAAGGCGUAGUCGAUGGGAAACGGGUUAAUAUUCCCGUACUUGGUGUUACUGCGAAGGGGGGACGGAGAAGGCUAUGUUGGCCGGGCGACGGUUGUCCCGGUUUAAGCGUGUAGGUGUGUGUUCCAGGUAAAUCCGGUUCACUUUAACACUGAGGCGUGACGACGAGGCACUACGGUGCUGAAGCAACAAAUGCCCUGCUUCCAGGAAAAGCCUCUAAGCAUCAGGUAACAUCAAAUCGUACCCCAAACCGACACAGGUGGUCAGGUAGAGAAUACCAAGGCGCUUGAGAGAACUCGGGUGAAGGAACUAGGCAAAAUGGUGCCGUAACUUCGGGAGAAGGCACGCUGACACGUAGGUGAAGUGAUUUACUCAUGGAGCUGAAGUCAGUCGAAGAUACCAGCUGGCUGCAACUGUUUAUUAAAAACACAGCACUGUGCAAACACGAAAGUGGACGUAUACGGUGUGACGCCUGCCCGGUGCCGGAAGGUUAAUUGAUGGGGUCAGCGCAAGCGAAGCUCCUGAUCGAAGCCCCGGUAAACGGCGGCCGUAACUAUAACGGUCCUAAGGUAGCGAAAUUCCUUGUCGGGUAAGUUCCGACCUGCACGAAUGGCGUAAUGAUGGCCAGGCUGUCUCCACCCGAGACUCAGUGAAAUUGAACUCGCUGUGAAGAUGCAGUGUACCCGCGGCAAGACGGAAAGACCCCGUGAACCUUUACUAUAGCUUGACACUGAACAUUGAGCCUUGAUGUGUAG
rnacentral:rRNA from 1 species